CCCUUUGAUACUCUGGGCGGCACGCGCGCUACAAUGGAUAACUUAACGCGUUACAUGUCCGAAAGGAUGUAUGCAAAUCACAAAUGUUAUGUCUCGAGUGGGAUAGUUUACUGCAAUUAUAGACUUGAACUAGGAAUCCCUUGUAGGUACACUGAAGCAUAGUGUACCGAAUACGUCCCUGCCGUUUGUACACACCGCCCGUCGUUUCUUCCGACUGAUACUCAUUGUGAAUUGCGGGGAUAACGUUGUUGAAAACCGUUGUAAAUGCUGGGUAUUGGAGGAAGAAAAAGUCGUAACA
rnacentral:rRNA from 1 species